CCUACGGGAGGCAGCAGUAGGGAAUCUUUCACAAUGUGCGAAAGCCUGAUGGAGCAACGCCGCGUGCAGGAUGAAGGCCUUCGGGUUGUAAACUGCUUUUAUAAGCGAGAAAUAUGAUGGUAACUUAUGAAUAAGGAUCGGCUAACUACGUGCCAGCAGCCGCGGUCAUACGUAGGAUCCGAGCAUUAUCCGGAGUGACUGGGUGUAAAGAGUUGCGUAGGUGGCAUAAUAAGUAGCUAGUGAAAUCUGGUGGCUCAACCAUUCAGACUAUUAGCUAAACUGUUAAGCUCGAGACCGUUAGGGGUAACUGGAAUUUCUAGUGUAGGAGUGAAAUCCGUAGAUAUUAGAAGGAACACCAAUAGCGUAGGCAGGUUGCUGGGACGGUUCUGACACUAAGGCACGAAAGCGUAGGGAGCAAACGGGAUUAGAUACCCGAGUAGUC
rnacentral:rRNA from 1 species